AGUGAACGCAGGCGGUAGGCCUAACACAUGCAAGUCGAACGGCAGCACAGUAAGAGCUUGCUCUUACGGGUGGCGAGUGGCGGACGGGUGAGGAAUACAUCGGAAUCUACUUUUUCGUGGGGGAUAACGUAGGGAAACUUACGCUAAUACCGCAUACGACCUACGGGUGAAAGCAGGGGAUCUUCGGACCUUGCGCGAUUGAAUUAGCCGAUGUCGGAUUAGCUAGUUGGCGGGGUAAAGGCCCACCAAGGCGACGAUCCGUAGCUGGUCUGAGAGGAUGAUCAGCCACACUGGAACUGAGACACGGUCCAGACUCCUACGGGAGGCAGCAGUGGGGAAUAUUGGACAAUGGGCGCAAGCCUGAUCCAGCCAUACCGCGUGAGUGAAGAAGGCCUUCGGGUUGUAAAGCCCUUUUGUUGGGAAAGAAAAGCAGCAGGUUAAUACCCCGCUGUUCUGACGGUACCCAAAGAAUAAGCACCGGCUAACUUCGUG
rnacentral:rRNA from 1 species